UACAGAGGGUGCAAGCGUUAAUCGGAAUUACUGGGCGUAAAGCGUGCGUAGUCGGUUAUCUAAGUCGGGUGUGAAAUCCCCGGGCUCAACCUGGGAAUUGCAUUCGAUACUGGAUAGCUAGAGUUCGGCAGAGGGAAGCGGAAUUUCGGGUGUAGCGGUGAAAUGCGUAGAUAUGCGGAGGAACACCGAUGGCGAAGGCGGCCUGCUGGGCAGUAGCUGACGCUGAGGCGCGACAGCGUGGGGAGCAAACAGG
rnacentral:rRNA from 1 species